CAGGCUGGAGUGCAGAGGCCUGAUCUCGGCUCACUGCAAACUCCGCCUCCUGGGUUCACGCCAUUCUCCCACCUCAGCCUCCCAAGUAGCUGGGAUUACAAGCGUGCGCCACUAUGCCCGGCUAAUUUUUGUAUUUUUAGUAGAGACGGGGUUUCACCAUGUUGGCCAGGAUGGUCAUGAACUCCUGACCUCAGGUGAUCCACCCACCUCGGCCUCCCAAAGUGUUGGCCUUACAGGCGUGAGCUACCGCACCCAGCCUGGGCUGACCUUCUGCACAGAAGUGCCAUCUACCUAUCCUCUGACCUCUGUCAUGUGACCCGCAGCAGGGGAUGUGACAUCUCCACCUUCUAAGUACCCCACUGUCAUGAGGCAGCUCCUCUCUCAGGUGCUGGGGCACAGGUCCUCUCCUGGGUCUCAGCAGGUCAUGGUCUGCUCCGGGGCUAUGCAUACUGGUUUCAGUAAGUGCUUGGUAGAUCUGCCCCCCAGCAUGGAGCAAGUGCUGGGUCGGGGUGCAGUGGACUCAGUAUCUCUGAAGGAGGAGAUGUCUCUUGCCCUCUCUCCACAGCUAGAGCUUUCACUAGCUACAGAGCUACAGCCAACUCCUGCACCAGCUCAGAAGGUAGAGCCAGCCCCGGCCUACAACUCGGGUGCUAGUUCCAGGAUCAGAGCCAGCUCCAGCAACAGCUCCAGCAGCACACCCAGAGAUAGGGGCAGCUCUGGCCACUUCCGUGCCGACUCCAGUGUAGCUCCAGCAUCCGCCCUCUAGCCAGGACCAGCUCCAAAACCAUUUGCAUAGUUAGGGCCAAAUAUCAGCAUCAGGUUCAGAAAAAGAGCCAGGGCCAGCAUCAUCUACAGGACCAGCUUCAGCACCGCGGCUCACACCAGUGUGGGUUCCUGUACCAGCUCAAGAACUAUGACCACAGCCAGCACAACUCCAGAUCUCACUCCAGCUGCCGCACCAGCUCUACAACCUACUCCAGAAACAGAGGCAGCUCUAUCACCAAAUCUGGUGCCACCUCCGGUGACUGCUCGGGCACCGGCUCCAAAACCAGUUCCAGAGUUUAAGCCAGUUCCAGGUGUAGACCUCAAGCCAGUGCCAGGUUCAGAGGAAGGGUCAGCUGCAGCAUCACCUCCAGAGCCAGAGCUGGCACCAGAUAUAAAGCGAUGGCUGAUUCCACAACCAGAACCAGAAUUAGAGGCAGCUCCAGAGCUACAGCCAUCUCAGACCUGCACCAGCUCCUGCACCAGCUUCAGAAUGAGAGCCAGAGUUCCUGCCAGCUCUAGAGCGAAAUCCAAUCAAGAACCAGCUCUAGCACCAUAUCCAGAGCUAGGACCAGCUUUGACACUUUUCCCAGGGCAAAGACUAGCAACAGCAACACAGCUAGAGGCAGCUCCAGAACAUCAGUCCCUGGGGCAGAGCCAGCUUGUCUCCAACAACCAUGUCUGUGCUAGGACAGAGCCUGCACCAUCUCUGGAGGUGGAGCCUGCUCUGGUGCCAGCUGCAGCCCCAACACCAGAGCUACAACCCAGCCUGCUGGUGGGACCACACAGGGAGGAGCCUCAGACCACGCAGUUGCAGCCCAGUUGCAAGGUGUCCUGGGGUCCUGGGCUGGGGCUUUUCUUAGGAGCCCUGGGGUGUUUUCUGGCUUUGCAAAGGCAAUGAAAAUUUGAGUUGAAUUUAUCACCAGCUCCUGCCCCCUCUAAGCGAGCACCUGAGCUGGAGCCAGCUCCCGCACCCCGGCCUUCCUGGCCUUUGCCUGUGGCUGCAGAGAGCAGGCUGAGCGAGCAGCCUCAUCUCCUGGUGUCCCCUCCAGGCUUAAGGCUAGAGCGGUCUGCGCUGUGCAAUGCGGAGGCUGCCCAGCCCCAGGACAGCAGCGCGGCCUUCCUCCCGGCCCCUGCGGCUCAGGCCUGUCAUCCCCUGCUCUGGAGCUCGCGUCCUGGUCCGAGUCCCGGCUCCACCCACCGUUCGCACCCGGCGACCGCGGCGAGUCGCUUGGCCGCGAGGCCUGGGUGUCCCGCCCUGCGCGGUGACCGAGGUCCCAGGACACAGCGCAGACAGGGCGCUAGUCAGGCCUGGCCGGGGUCACCCCGCCUGCCGGGACCCUCGCCCGCUUCAGCACUCAUUAGGCGCCUGGUGUGUACCCGCGCCCAUGGCCGACACCGGCAGAGCCCCUGGUGGGGAAGGGACAGGGCGCGUGGCGGGAGCCCCAUGCUGCCCCGGGCGGCGCUGCUCGACAGUCACGGGAGCCGCCCCAAUGGCUGGGACCACCGGGACCCACGGACUCGUGGAGCGUCCUCCUGAGCCGGCCUGGGAAUCCUCCGCGAAAACGGGGAGCCGCGCGUGACCGUGGCGUGCCCGGCACCCGGCGGGUCGGAGACGGCGCGGCCCCAGCUGCUGGCCCCGUGGGGCGGUCGCGGUGAAGGACACGGGUCACAGCGCUGCCGCUGCUCUGCGUGGCGAACCCACGCGCCCGCCCGCCAGCCACUGAGCAGCGCCCACGUGCGGGCGCGGGGAGCGGCACGGCCGGCGACCGCUGGGGGGCGCUGCUCGGGCGAGGCGGAUUGACUCUUGCGGGCCGCCGUACGCGCUAUAAAAGGCGCGGCGCGUCCCCUCUCGUUCUCUGCGCGCGCCGGCGGCUGCCGUGGCGGGUGGGCAGCUGCCAUUCUCUUCUCGGCCAGUUCUCGAGCGCCUCCCCGGGCCCCGCCCUGCAGCCUCGGUCUCCCUGGCGCUGCGCGGCCUAGGGGACUGGGCUGCUGGCCUCCGGGUGCGGGGUGGGGGCAGGCUCUGACCUGGGGCGUCCUGGCCGCGUGAGCCGCGGGAUGGGGGCCCGGGCCCCGGAGGAGGCGCCGCUGUUGUGUUCCUUGGUGGAGAGGGCGCUGCCGGCCCUGCGCGGUUUCCAGCCAGGAAGCUUCGGGAAGCCUGGUGAGAGGACGUCUGCUCACUGGAAACGACACGUGCGUGGGGUGUUGGGAAGGAGGUGACUUCGCCUGUGAUGGACUUCCAGUGUGAGCACUGGCCAGAGUGACCAGGCCGACCAGCACCAGCCCUGAUCCAGACGCAGAGGCCAAGAUGUGGGCCCAGCCCUGUGCCAGAAGGCUGGCUGGAAUAAAGGUACAGAUACAGGCCUCACCCCCUCUGGGACCACUGGCACUCAGGGUGUUUGCAGCCUGAGCCCAGCUUUCCAGAAGCCCACCUGCCCCCAGGGCCACAGCUGCAGCUCCUGCUCUGCUGUCAUUACAGGGAUGGGCAGGCUGGCAUGGGGACACCCGCUGCCCCUGCCUGGGUAGUGCUGUGUAUUUCCGCCGGCCAGGGGCCACUGCCAGGACCACCCCUCCAUUUUCAUAUCCCGAUUCUUAAGUUCUGCCAUUGUGGUAUUCUGGUGGAAAAAAAAGAACCGCUUGGCUGUUUUUGAACUGUCUGGAACCUAAGAUCCCGAAUCCCCCCCCCCGCCCCCCCGCAGGGGGAAAAUCUAUAUGGAAAACAUUUAUUUUAAAAUACAGGAUGAAGUGAAUUAAAAGAUUUAAAUGCACAUUUCUUUAAGGAUAGUAUUUCUGUGUUGGCAAAAUUUGAGAAUAAAUUGGUCUUGAAUGGAA